rnacentral:lncRNA from 1 species
CUCACUCUCUCCCUCUCGGCUGCGUUUCUCUUUCUCUUUCCCCGACCUCACUCUCUCGUCCUCUCCCUCUGCCAUUGCCGGAACCACAUCGUCCGGCCACCGCCUCACAUCACCGCUACCACCAAUCGAAGCAGCACCUCAAUCCAACCUAAACCCAUAAGAGAUCGAAGCCAUGCAUCGACCCGGCCUCUCUCUUCCGCUAUCCUUCUCUCUGCCACCAUCGGAGACUCCAUCUCCGGCCACCAUCUCCCCACACCGUCUUCACCAAUCGACACAGCAUCCAAAACCAACCCAAGCCCGAGCCUUAACGUCGAAAUACAUCGCCGGCAGCCUCUACCCGUGACCACCCAAGGCUGCGACGCUGCUGCCACUCAACCUCCAUCAAUUUUUGGUCGCCUUUUCAAUAUACCGUAGCCUCCUGUGAGCUCAGGGAGCGCCAACCAUCAAGCCUCCGACAUCCCAUCGCCAGAAGACGUCGAACACACAUCGCCGGAAACCGAGCUCUGCAUGCCUUCGUUCUCUAAUCUCCAACGUGAAUCGUGCUAAACCACCUCCAUGGUUGGAAUCAGCGUCUCACGUUUUCCAAAAGUCCAAACACCCGACCUCCGAUUCUGACCAGAGCCGCCACACGCGCCGCCGGCGCCGGCGCGUGAGAAACCUUGAUGCCGCCGUGAACUCUGCCAGCGUAGUC